UUUUUUCCAAGUUUCAUGAAACUCUUUCCCGUCAGAUUGGAAGAAGCUCGUGAUAGCAUGCCUAAUUGGUUUGUUCUUCUUAUGGAAAAAUAUUUUUUUAGAAAUUCAUGUUGCAUUUGAGCCCAUGAAAGAAUGGAAUUGGCUUCUAAUGAAUGGAGCCACUGCUUAGCUCUACCUUAAGAGAAAAAGGGAAUAGCCUAAGUUUCAGAGCAUCAUCAGUGAAGUUCUGAAUUUUGACAGUGGUGCAGAUCUCAAGGAACUCAUCUAAAUGUUUGUAUGGGUCUUCAUUGUUGAGUCCAUAAAAAGAGGAAAGCAUUUGGAUGACACUAGACUUAAUCUCAAACUGUACAAUAGCAGUGGUAUCAGAUAGUCGAAUACAAGAUGGAGAGGUAUAAAUGGAAGGAGUGAAGUACUCCUUUAACAGCUUGGGUUGUUCUUCAGCCAUCUCGACAGGUGGUGUAGUUCCUAUGGUUCUAUAGGUG
rnacentral:lncRNA from 1 species